UCCGUUAUGGUCUAGUGGCUAGGAUACAUCGCUCUCAUUAGCAAGCGCCGAUGUGGCCGGGGUUCGAUUCCCCGUGACGGAA
rnacentral:tRNA from 4 species